AUUGAACGCUGGCGGCAUGCCUUACACAUGCAAGUCGAACGGCAGCACGGGGGGUAACCCCUGGUGGCGAGUGGCGAACGGGUGAGUAAUAUAUCGGAACGUGUCCUGUAGCGGGGGAUAACCUAUCGAAAGAUGGACUAAUACCGCAUACGACCUACGGGUGAAAGCGGAGGACCGCAAGGCUUCGCACUAUAGGAGCGGCUGAUAUCGGAUUAGCUAGUUGGCGGGGUAACGGCCCACCAAGGCGACGAUCCGUAGCUGGUCUGAGAGGACGAUCAGCCACACUGGAACUGAGACACGGUCCAGACUCCUACGGGAGGCAGCAGUGGGGAAUUUUGGACAAUGGGCGCAAGCCUGAUCCAGCCAUGCCGCGUGAGUGAAGAAGGCCUUCGGGUUGUAAAGCUCUUUCGGCGGGGACGAAACGGUUCGUGCUAAUACCACGGACUACUGACGGUACCCGCAGAAGAAGCACCGGCUAACUACGUG
rnacentral:rRNA from 1 species